UACGGGCAGCUGGUAAAUCUAAUAGGAUAAUAGAAGCUCUGAUGGCAUUUCAAAACAUCUAAAAUCCCACCUCCAGCUUACAGCAUGUUCUUUUGAUUCUCAACCAAGCUCUCGCCCCUUUGAGGCUAUUUGGCCCUGCCACUCCUGGUUUUUUGCAUUCCAGUUUUUGUUUAUUCCUUUUAAAAUGGUACCACCCUAUAUUUUAUGCUUAAAAGCCAUGCAGUCUGGGCAAUGUCUGUCUUUCUAAAGCUAAGAUAGAAGGUCUGGUUGUUCAAAGACUAUGCCUUCUAUGGUUGUGACUUAACACUGGUUCAGGCUACAUCAAUUUGAAAACAGUUGACUGGACAGACAAGAGACUCUUUUAUUUCCCAACCCAAUUUAGCUGGGGCCAUGGGUGAGUUGUACUCCAGUCUUCAGUUUCCAAAGACUAGUAAUUGAGCUUGCUUAGAUCUCCAGGAUCUCAUGACUUCACUUCAGCCACUGCUGCACAAAGCAAGAUUGUGGCAUUUCUGUUUAAUGACAUUCCCUCCACUGCACUGAUGAUUCAGGUUUGGCACCAAGUACAUUAAAGUAACAUAGUAGAUUCCCUACAUGAGUAGGAAGAGGCUUGAGAGAAACAGAGUUUUAUCUACAUUUAGAUAGCUUGUUCCUGCACCAAUUCAAGCCAAUAACCAAGACUCCCACAGAGUUUAGUGGGAACCAUAUUGACCCCAGAGUUUAUUUUCCAGAUUCCUGUAUAUUAUUUAUAUGGCAGAUUUGGUCCUAAUGAGUGCUGUGUGCCUCAGCUGUCAAUAGCCCUGAUCUGCUUUUACAGAAAAAAGAGCAAGCCCAGUGAAUCUUGAAUUCUUUUCUGCACAGCAACAAAGCUUCAAAAGGCUGGAUGGAAGGGGCCUCCACCCACAAUAGGCUGGUGGUCAGACAGUGUCCUAGUGGGGCCACAUGAGUCCUUUGUUGGAACUAGCCCUAUAGCAAUAAGUCUUCCCCUAAGAAAGCCAAAGAUAAUGUCAAAACAACUGGCUACCUGAAUGCAUUGAUUUCUGCAGCCUGCGGCAAUGCUUCUGUCAACAAUAAAGCAGUUGCUGACUCGAUUUCCGUUCCAGUGGCCCAAGCCAAAGUUUAUUAGCCUGUCAAGGAUUAAUGGUCAUUUGAGAGUUUUAAAAACUACAACAGGGUAGUUAUCGGGCAGUGACAGUAAAGCUGUUGUAUGUUGUGCUCUCAGAAGUAACAGUGCUGAUUUUUCCUGCACAAAGAGAACUUUACUAAUUGGUAAUCUGAUGAAAAUCAUGAAGAAAAGCUGCAAAGUAUGGCAUUAUUUCUGGUAGCUUGUAGCAAGUUUGAGGAUACUUAGCAAGGAAAUUUCUCACCAAUUACAGGGAUAUCAUAACAGAAGCAACUCUUGAAGAAGGACUUGGAGAAGGAUGUACUGGAUUUGGCUGACCAAUUUCAUCUGUGGUAAUGAGAGUACCUGCUAUUCUGAAUGUAUGUAAUACAUUUGCAUCAAGGAAAUUGCUUUUCUCAUUUUCUCUUUUCUGUAUACAAGUGUCUUGUUAAAAGCAUAGACCAUAUUAAUUCGACAUUAACAUCAUCACUGUCUUUGGCUCCACUUAAAACAUCUUUAGUAAUAACAGCAGCUUUGACUAAUGAAGCUAAGAACACGUUUCCUUUCUCUCUAUUUUGUAAUAUAUAUUCCAUUUAUUUCUUGAAGACAAUGAAAAUAGACAGGUUAGUUUCAUUGCUAUUGCUCAUCACUGACUUACGAGGUGCUGCCCAAAUGAUACAGAGUUGCAGUGGUCUGUUUCAACCCAAGCAAUUAAUUUGUUACAUUAAAAAACACGCACAGAUAAUGAACUUUUUCUGUUACAAUCUGGCCACAUAAAAUAUUUUUGAAAAUAAAAGACCUAAUUUUGGUUAUCUAGUUGAAUCUGCCCUUGCUUCUAUUCUUGUCUUUUCUGUUGAGAUGCUUAUACUUCUCUUACCCCUCUAGUAUCUACAUGGCAUCCAGUAGCACAUUAACCAACAUCUGUCACGAGUGUUUCAUUCUCAUUGACUCACCCUCUUCACUGGGGGAAUCCUGAGGAUUCACUUAAAUGGGCCUUAAGUCAGUGUGACAACCAGAGUGUUGCUCUUUGACAGUUUUUAAAAAUGUUUUAAAGAUAUUCAUGUCAUUUUCUUGGUGGUACAAUGAACAAUAAAGGCAGUACUUACAAUAUAAAGUGUAUUAAAUAACUACAAGUAAAAAGUCACCUUUGGACAUUAUCAUCAUCAGAAAUCUAAAUGUAUUUGAUGUUGCUGAAUGCAAGCUAUUGUAACAAGCAGAGGGGAAAACAAUCAGGCAGAUAUUUUAAAUCCAGUAUUAAAAUAAUUGAAUCUCAACAGAACUGUGAUCGGCCACAGUUAAGUCUGUGCUUU